AUGAGGAGGAGAAGAAGUAAAGCAAAGAACAACUCAUGGGUUGAGCUUGAAGAGAGGAUAGUUCCCUGUUUGUCUCUUUCUGUUGAAGGGGAGAUACACAUAAUAUGCAGUUAUACGAUCCCAUGUCCCACAGCAUCAGCAGCACAUCAAGUAUUGGCAAUGAAGUGCUACUGUGAGAGCUCUUGCAUUUGUGGAGGCUGCAACAACUGUCCCUUGCCAGCCAUCCCAUGAGGGGACACCUUAGCCAGAAGCUGAAGAGGAGGAGGUAUGCUCUCCAUCUGCCUUUCACACUGAGGUUAAAGGACGCAAACAGAAGAAGUCCAUUGCUACUCUCCAUAAUUCACGGUGGCAUGAAAAUCUCCCUGCCAUGCAAUGCCCUGGAAGGGGUUGUCAGCUACAGGCACGAUCUGUCUUGGAGCACCUUCCAUCUAUUGGUCACACUCCUACUGUAGUGAGCCACUGAGGACUGUCUGGCCCUUACAUAUUAGUGUUGGACAGGCUAUAAGGACCUGACUUGGCUGGAUCACACACAUUUUGUUCUGUUAUUCCAGUACAUUAAAACAAACUUAUACGUAUGUAUUUGCUUCCUCUAGUGUUUCCAAUAAUCACAGCUGCUGCAAAGAGCAUGCUCUCUCUUGCAAUUAUCUUGCCAUCAAGAAAGCUAAGAAAAUAGCAAAGGAUUUUGUUUUUUGCUGGAGACAGUAUGAUACUCAGGGUGUUUCUCAUUAAAGAAAAUGUACCUGUUUUAAAAUGUGUCAGCAGCUGGAAUGUUCUGCACCUUUAAAAAGUUGUGUUCAGAGGGUGAUCGAUUUGCUUGUAGGGAAUCACUUAGAAGUGGGUUUGAGCUUAAGCAGAGGAUUAAUCAAGUUUAUAACAACAAGAAUUACAAAAGUUAAUGUUGUUAUUAUUAUUAUUUUGCCAUUACAAUUCUGAAUGGAAAUCUGGGGGUACAGGAUUGACUUAAGUAAAUAACUAUUCAUGUGACAAUAUAUGAGAUUUGUGUUAAAGUCUGGAAAGACCACUUGUUGAUGAUGUUAUCUCCUGGAGUCCAACAGAGAUUUACCAAGCACAGAGGAGGUUAUUAUCCCUCUGCUCAGAGUAACACACAGUCUGUUGGGUUCAGGAGGUUCUAAAGCUCUUCCUCACUACUGUGAACAUUUAUGGUGGAUGCUUAAAGCAGCCUACAUGAGAACUAGGGAGACCAGAGCACAAACUAGGGAGACCAGAGCACAACAGCACCUUCUUUACACUCCAGAAAUAAACUAUAACAAAUUAGUCAAGUAAAACCCUGUAAGAUGUUUCCUGCAGAACAGUUUAUGAAACAGUUACCUCAUUUAUCAUAGAAUUUUAGGAUCGUUAAAAUCAACUCAGAUUUCUCUAAAAAGAGGUUGAGGUGGCAGACAGAGCUAUUUCUAAAAGCAGUCAGCAACCACUAGCUCCUGCUGAAAACUUCAGAGACCAGGGCAAUGGAGUCUUCUUAAGAAAAACAGCCUUCAGAGAUAAAAUCUUGCAGGAGUUUAAUGGAAAUUGAGUACCUAGGUUGCACAAUUUGCUUCAGAAAAGCCCAAUUUCUGGUCAUUUGGCUUGUGCAAGCUGUUCAGAGUCAUUUUCCCUAAGUCCUACUAACCCUACAGUUUUCAGGAUCUAUUCCAUGUAAAUCAGUUUUGAGAUGAUAAACGUUUCUCUAUUAACAGAUUCCAGACCUAUGCUGUGAAAGUAUGAUGAAUCAGAGUACAACAAGCCAGAAAUUAAAACAAAACAAAACAAAACACUUUUGUCUUGUGAAUGAUGAUAACACAGCACAAAGAUUGAACUGAGAAGCAAGAAAGUCAGCCUCAUCAGCAAGAACUUCCUAGACUUAAAUAGUUUUGUUAGUAUUAUUUGGGAUGUCUUUACUGAUUCAUGUGGAUCUGUGAUUACCAAAAUUAGCCAAGGAUCUAGUCCUUUUUGUUAGUAAGGUAUUUGAUUCAGGUUUCUUUCUGCCUGCUUAUUCUUAAAUAAUUAGCUGACCUAGCUGACGCAGCUUGAGCUGAUUGCAUUGUGAAAUAUCUCUUCCUCAGUUACAUCACCAGAAUAAAAGCUUGUGAUGAUUCCGAAUAGUUCUGAUAACUGUUCUCUUCCUUUUGUUUCACAGAAGUACUUUACACAACACAGUUGAGUUUCAUCUAU
ensembl:lncRNA